rnacentral:misc_RNA from 1 species
UCCGUGUUAACCACGGCAGUCUCCCUAGAGUGCCCAACUUAAUGAUGGCAACUAAGGACAGGGGUUGCGCUCGUUGCUGGACUUAACCAAACAUGUCACCACACGAGCUGACGACAGCCAUGCAGCACCUGUCUCCCGGUUGUAUUGCUACAAAAGCCGUAUUUCUACGGUUGUCCGAGGAUGUCAAACCUAGGUAAGGUUCUUCGCGUUGCUUCGAAUUAAACCACAUGAUCCACCGCUUGUGCGGGCCCCCGUCAAUUCCUUUGAGUUUUAGUCUUGCGACCGUACUUCCCAGGCGGGGUACUUAUCGCGUUAGCUUCGAUUCGGCGGGGGUCAAGUCCUACCAAAUCUAGUACCCAUCGUUUACAGCGUGGACUAC